CCGCGGGGCUCCGGCGGCUCCCUGCCGCGCGCCACGCGCCGCCUCUGGCCCCGCCCCACGCCCGAGGGCGGCCGUUAGGGAGGGCGCCCCACGCUCCCCCGCCCGUUUAACGGCCCCCGGCCCGCGCCGCGCCCCGGGGGGAGCGGAGAAAUGCUGGGCGAUGGGCAACCUCGUGCGUGUGCGAGUAUAUUUAUGUAGAGAGGCUAAAAACAAACGCAGUCCUAGCGCAGCACCGGAGACCUGUGCGCCGGCGGCCGCCCCGGGCCUGGCCCCCUGCGAGCCCGCGGAGGUAGGAGCAGUGCCGAGCAGCGCGCUGGCCCGCGCUGAAGUUAGUUGGAGUGGGGACAGCUGCUCAAGCGGUUUGGAGACAUCCGGGCAGAAAAGCGGAGCCCUUCCUACGGGGGGCUUUUUUUUCCCCCUUGGUCUUUGUUUUCUGUUUUGAGAUACCGCGGAAAAGUUGCCAAUAUGUGCUUGAAACAGCACGUAUAAAGGAUCUCAAGGAUUGGACAGAAAGAGCUAGGCUCCUUUCUGCUCUUCUAUUCCAUGCGGAUUCUUUUAGCCUGUUUUCAGCACUGCCUAAUCUUUCCCAGCCAGCUUUGAUGAUCAAACAAGGUUAGUUGCCCUGAAGGGGCUGCCCUAAAAAGGACAAACGAUGAUGUCAGUCCACAAAAGCUAUAGACUUAAAAAAUAAGGAAUAGACUUGGAAACUUUUUGUAGUUAACAUUUCUCAUGACAAAAUAUUAAAGGUUUUUUAAUUAGUCAGUAAUUUAAAAGAAGUGUUUCAAGUCUUUGGUAAAGUGAAUGGAUGGGGAACGAAAUGAUGUCUGUGCCUCUAAUGGUACUUGUAAAAUAACAGGAAAGGAGUUUGGCAUCAUUUAUGGAGACAAGCUAUUUUUCCUAUUUACAGUACUAAGUACAUUUUUUUUUUGUUGAAACUUCUAAGAGCAUCUUUGAAUGAUUGUAAGGACAAGUACUCAUGUACUUGUCAAAUCAAGUAUGACCAAUGUCCUACACUAAUGCUUACAAUUAAGUAUGGUUUACACAUUCUAAAAUACCCAUCAAUGAAAAAGUAAAUUUAUUACCUGCAUUUAUGCAAAUAUAAACUGUUCACAGUCAAGAGAAUGGAUUUGUCCAGUUGCUCUUUGAAUCCAUGUUCAAAUGACCACAAUAUUCUGUUGCAAGGGGUUUCAUAGCUCCUUUAUGAAAUGUGUGAAGAAGUACCUCCUCAUCUUUGUUUGAACCUGCCAUUUUCUUGCUGCCUGUAAUGACAUCCGAUACCAGCACUAGGGGACAGCAAGAACAAUCAAAUCCAUUCAGCAUCACUGUGCCAGUUGUCAUUUGAUAGAUGUUCAUCACUCCCUUUGAUCUGUUGUUUAGACUGGAGACUCAUAAUCUUUUAAGUCAUUCUUCAUAUGAAGCUGUUCUGUAAUUUUAAUCAUUCUUCAUUUUUCCCAAUACUUGCUUCAGUACUGCCAUAUGGUUUUAAUGUGGGAGACAAGAAUUGCACAGUAUUCAAGCCUGAAUGGUUGCAGAAGCAGCAUGGAUUUAUACAGUUCUCUUUCCUAAUAAUACCUAAUAUUUGAUUUGGCCAUUGCUGAGUACUGAAUGUAUAUUUUCAGAGCUAUCAAUUGUGUAUUCAUGUCUCUGAAAUAAUCCUGAUUGUCAGGUUGCCAAGUGUGAUACUAACAGUGAGAAAAUAUUAUUUUCUCCUAAAGCAGAUCUUUUCUAACUAUAAGAUUAUUUAAAUGUGAGAAUAGUUUUAGUUUUACCUUUCUGUCCUCUAGUCUUUUGUAUUAUGAUUUUUCUAUGUAAUAUAAUAGGCUGAUUGCCGAGUUUACCAUUCACUUAUUUUUUGGUUUCUGUAAUUAAAUUUGUACUUAUUUAAUCAUCUUUUUCUAUUAAUUUAAACCUUACACAUAACUACACAAGCAUAUCUUAAAUACCAGUGUUACAACUGUAGUAGUUAACCACAGAAGCUGCCUUCGAGGAAAUUUAUUAGUAUUAUAACAUUAAUACUGUGAAAUGGCCAACUGUGAUAGAUUUGGUGACACUUAACAGUAGAUCAGAUACAGUAGUGACAGUCUCUGAAGUUGUGUCCCGUAUAGCUUCAUCAGUGUGCCUUAUAACAUAGUAAACAACAGUUUAAUCUUCACGGUCGUUCAACCCUGCUUUUUCUGCUGUCUCUAUCAACUGCGCCUAUGUUACUGUUGCCUUUUAUUAUGUGGAUUUCUAUCUACUAUGAAGCUGUCUAAAACUAUCAGAUCAUUUGACACAUGCCACUUUACACCAUAUCAAGGGUGAAAUUUUCUCAGGGGCAGCGGUACACACAGGGCUUAUGCAUCACUUCAAUUUUACUGACACUCUAAGGCUUUUGUUUAAAUUCUCUAACAGUUCCGUGUGACUUGGAAACAAGUACCUUCUAAAUAAAGUAUGGGCUUAUCGUUAACAUCAAUAGUUAUUUGCCACAUUUGGGCAAAAUAUAUGUAAAAUGCUUCCUUUCUAAUUCGAUGUCCUUGCUAUCUUAAAAGGAGCUAUUUGGUUUGGCCUUGUUCAUCCCUCUUUUUCUCUCAUUUUGUAUUUAAACAUUGUAUUCUAAUUUCAAGUGCAUCAAUGGAGAAUAUGUUGGAUAUGUCUUAAAACCAAUGCACUGAGAUGUGAUAUCAGAAGUACAGCGCAUGACUGUUAGCUUCACCUGCCUGUACCUCUGCUCGAGCUGAGCCUAAAGGACAUACAGGAGCAUUCAGAGGGAAGUGAAUGACUUCCUUCUACUGUAAACAUUUCCUGGUUUCUGGAGAUUAUCCCUGCCUCUAAUACUCCCUUGUUUUGCUGCUUUGGGAAUAAAGUGAACAGUUACACUAACUGAAGCACUGGCGAUUAGCUGAAACUGUCCAGUGUCUGCCUCAAUGUACUUUCUCUAGCUUAUAUGUAAAGGUGAGUAAGUAGCUUACAUGCAAUCUUUUUUGCUAUCACAUUACCUGAAUCCGUUUGCUUUAGAAGAAAUUUUCAGAAGAAAAUCUUUUUGGUUUAGUUUUGAAUGUAUUUUUCCAUCCAUGUGUAUAACAAAAAAUAUUACUUAAGAAAAUACUUAAGUUGUAAUUUAAUAAGCCCAUACAAUAGUUCAAAUAACUUCCUAAAGUUCUUCAUUUCUAUUGCUUUUAUUUAAUUUGUACUGUUAAGUUUUAAAAAUCCUGCCUUUUUAUCACCAAUAAUGUGGUUCCAAACAUUAUUUCCUGUGCUUAUCAGUAUAUAAACAGAACAAUAGAGAAUCUUGGCAUAGUUUAGCAUUCUAUCAAAACUAAUACACUUUUGCCAAAAGAGAGGAAAUAUCUGUCUCUAUUGUUCUGUUAAUGUGGGUGGGGUAAACAGACCUUUAGGGAGUCACUUAUUGUUGUAGGAAGUUAUUAUAAAAUGGCAUUAUAGCAGAGACUACAGGAGUAUUUACUGAAAGUUCAGCAACACUUGAAAGCUAUUCAGCCCACUUAAUAAAAUGUUUAUAUAUCCUGUUUCAAUGCACACCAAACAGUGUUGAAGAAAGGAAGUCAUUUCAUAUCAAAUGAAUUUUUAUUAAUCACAAAGCUUAAAAAUAACAAGUCAGAUCAAUUUAAAUCAAUCUGUGAACUUUUUUCUAGACAAUACUGUAGCCUUCUACAAGAAAAAAGACUUGUACAAGAGAAAAUUCUCCAACGAUAAAAUGUAUUAUCUGUCCUGCAAUAAUCAAGAGGUGAUGAAAUACUAGUUUGAUUUGAAUAAUUGUGUGAUUUCAGCUGCUAGAUUCUUGUUUUAAAAAUAAAAUAUGAAUAUA